rnacentral:rRNA from 1 species
UACGUAGGGUGCAAGCGUUAAUCGGAAUUACUGGGCGUAAAGCGUGCGCAGGCGGUUAUGUAAGACAGUUGUGAAAUCCCCGGGCUCAACCCUGGGAACUGCAUCUGUGACUGCAUAGCUAGAGUACGGUAGAGGGGGAUGGAAUUCCGCGUGUAGCAGUGAAAUGCGUAGAUAUGCGGAGGAACACCGAUGGCGAAGGCAAUCCCCCUGGACCUGUACUGACGCUCAUGCACGAA